rnacentral:rRNA from 1 species
UACGAAGGGUGCAAGCGUUAAUCGGAAUUACUGGGCGUAAAGGGUGCGUAGGCGGUUGUUUAAGUCUGUCGUGAAAUCCCCGGGCUCAACCUGGGAAUUGCGUUGGAGACUGCAAGGCUGGAGUCUGGCAGAGGGGGGUAGAAUUUCACGUGUAGCAGUGAAAUGCGUAGAGAUGUGGAGGAACACCGAUGGCGAAGGCAGCCCCCUGGGUCAAGACUGACGCUCAUGCACGAAAGCGUGGGGAGCAAACAGG